rnacentral:tRNA from 1 species
GCCACGAUAGCCGAGCGGUUAAAGGCAGAGACCUGCGAAGCUUAAUAUGCAUUGUAGUACUAGGUUCGAUUCCUGGUCUAGGCC